GUGAACGCUGGCGGUAGGCCUAACACAUGCAAGUCGAACGGCAGCACAGUAAGAGCUUGCUCUUACGGGUGGCGAGUGGCGGACGGGUGAGGAAUACAUCGGAAUCUACUUUUUCGUGGGGGAUAACGUAGGGAAACUUACGCUAAUACCGCAUACGACCUGCGGGUGAAAGCAGGGGAUCUUCGGACCUUGCGCGAUUGAAUGAGCCGAUGUCGGAUUAGCUAGUUGGCGGGGUAAAGGCCCACCAAGGCGACGAUCCGUAGCUGGUCUGAGAGGAUGAUCAGCCACACUGGAACUGAGACACGGUCCAGACUCCUACGGGAGGCAGCAGUGGGGAAUAUUGGACAAUGGGCGCAAGCCUGAUCCAGCCAUACCGCGUGGGUGAAGAAGGCCUUCGGGUUGUAAAGCCCUUUUGUUGGGAAAGAAAAGCAGCAGGUUAAUACCCCGCUGUUCUGACGGUACCCAAAGAAUAAGCACCGGCUAACUUCGUG
rnacentral:rRNA from 1 species